rnacentral:lncRNA from 1 species
GCUGCGGCCCGAAUCGAGAGCCUGGGACGGGGACGAGUUUUCCCCCGGGCCUGGUGACCCAAGGCGUCUUAGUGGCGGAGUUGCAAGAGGUGGUUGUGCCCUUCCCGGUCCCCAGGGAAGGUCGUAUAUCUUAGUGUACUCGCGCCCUCGGCGCUUCUCUGGAGUCCCAGGGUCCGGCGGGAGGGCACGCUCCCGGGGGGCGGCGGGGAGGGCAGUCACCAGACCUUUUUCCGCGCGCCCCACGCUCUGGGGUGGGGACAGAGGCGCCGUGUGCCCUCCCAGCAGUGCUGCGGGAAGCCGGGGAAGCUUCGGGGCUUCUUGGAACCGCGACUGUGGGUCCGAUUGCUAGUAGCACGGCCCCGCCUCGCCCAGAUUUCGCUUCAAAUUCACACACAAAGAGGGCAGUGACCCGUGGUGCGCACGCACACAUUCCAACUUAGAGAUUUCCAAGAGGCUGCGGCAGGGUGGGCCCGGAACCUGGUUGUUGGGCGCUCGGCUGGGAGCCUGUGCACUCCGCCAGCAGAACCUGGUUUUCUUCUCUGCAGUCUUUAUUAAAAUUGGUUAUUUUGCGGCA